rnacentral:rRNA from 1 species
UGGGGAAUUUUGGACAAUGGGCGAAAGCCUGAUCCAGCAAUGCCGCGUGUGUGAAGAAGGCCUUCGGGUUGUAAAGCACUUUUGUCCGGAAAGAAAUCCUUGGCUCUAAUACAGUCGGGGGAUGACGGUACCCGGAAGAAUAAGCACCGGCUAACUACGUGCCAGCAGCCGCGGUAAUACGUAGGGUGCAAGCGUUAAUCGGAAUUACUGGGCGUAAAGCGUGCGCAGGCGGUUUGCUAAGACCGAUGUGAAAUCCCCGGGCUCAACCUGGGAACUGCAUUGGUGACUGGCAGGCUAGAGUAUGGCAGAGGGGGGUAGAAUUCCACGUGUAGCAGUGAAAUGCGUAGAGAUGUGGAGGAAUACCGAUGGCGAAGGCAGCUCCCUGGGCCAAUAUGACGCUCAUGCACGAAAGCGUGGGGAGCAAACAGGAUUAGAUACCCUGGUAGUCCACGCCCUAAACGAUGUCAACUAGUUGUUGGGGAUUCAUUUCCUUAGUAACGUAGCUAACGCGUGAAGUUGACCGCCUGGGGAGUACGGUCGCAAGAUUAAAACUCAAAGGAAUUGACGGGGUCAUA